rnacentral:rRNA from 1 species
UACGAGUUGUGCAAACGUUAUUCGGAAUCACUGGGCUUAAAGGGUGCGUAGGCGGCUACGAAAGUCGGGUGUGAAAUCCCUCGGCUCAACCGAGGAACUGCGCUUGAAACUGUGUAGCUAGAGGGAGACAGAGGUGAGCGGAACUGAUGGUGGAGCGGUGAAAUGCGUUGAUAUCAUCAGGAACACCGGUGGCGAAAGCGGCUCACUGGGUCUUUUCUGACGCUGAUGCACGAAAGCCAGGGGAGCAAACGGG